rnacentral:rRNA from 1 species
GUCCACGCCGUAAACGUUGGGCGCUAGGUGUGGGGCUCAUUCCACGAGUUCCGUGCCACAGCUAACGCAUUAAGCGCCCCGCCUGGGGAGUACGGCCGCAAGGCUAAAACUCAAAGGAAUUGACGGGGGCCCGCACAAGCGGCGGAGCAUGUUGCUUAAUUCGAUGCAACGCGAAGAACCUUACCUAGGCUUGACAUGCACGGAAAUCUUUCAGAGAUGGAAGGUCCGUAAGGGCCGUGCACAGGUGGUGCAUGGUUGUCGU